GCCACAUCACGUUAAAACACCGGUUCCCGUACGAUCACCGAAGUUAAGCAAUGUCAAAGCUAGUCUAUACCUAGGUGGGUGACCACUUGGGAAUAUCAAGUGCAGUAA